rnacentral:rRNA from 1 species
GACGAACGCUGGCGGCGUGCCUAAUACAUGCAAGUAGAACGCUGAAGAGCGGAGCUUACUCUUCUUUGAUGAGUUGCGAACGGGUGUGUAACGCGUAUGUAACCUGCCUUAUAGCGGGGGAUAACUAUUGGAAACGAUAGCUAAUACCGCAUAACAAUGGAUGACACAUGUCGGUUAUUUGAAAUGGGCAAUUGCUCCACUACAUGAUGGACCUGCGUUGUAUUAGCUAGUAGGUGAGGUAAUGGAUCACCUAGGCGACGAUACAUAGCCGAACUGAGAGGGCGAGCAGCCGACCUGAGAGUGUGACACGCCCCAGACUGCUUGAGGAGCGAGCAGGAGGGAAUCGUCGGCCAGGGGGGCAAAACAGACCGAGCAACGCCGAGUGAUGAAAGAAGGACGUCGGAUCGGAAAGCUCGGUUGUAAGUCAAGAACGCGCGUGCGCGUGGAAAGUUCAGUCUGUGACGGUAGCUUAUCAAAAAGCGACGGCUAACUACGUG